rnacentral:misc_RNA from 1 species
GAUAAAGAUGAAGGAAAUAGCAGAGGCAUACCUUGGGUCUAUUGUAAAGAAUGCUGUAGUCACUGUCCCUGCUUACUUCAAUGAUUCCCAGCGCCAGGCUACCAAAGAUGCGGGUGUUAUUGCUGGGCUAAAUGUCUUGAGGAUCAUCAAUGAGCCUACAGCUGCUGCCAUUGCAUAUGGUUUAGACAAGAAAGCCAGCAGCAGUGGGGAGAAGAAUGUGUUGAUUUUCGACCUUGGAGGUGGAACUUUCGAUGUCUCUCUACUUACCAUUGAGGAGGGGAUUUUUGAGGUGAAGGCCACUGCUGGAGACACACAUCUUGGUGGGGAGGACUUUGACAACCGCAUGGUGAAUCACUUUGUUCAGGAAUUCAAGAGGAAGAAUAAGAAAGAUAUCAGCGGUAAUCCUAGAGCCCUUCGAAGGUUGAGGACUGCCUGUGAGAGGGCUAAGCGAACUCUAUCAUCCACUGCCCAAACCACAAUUGAAAUUGACUCCCUGUUUGAGGGAAUUGAUUUCUAUACGACCAUCACGCGUGCCAGAUUUGAGGAAUUGAACAUGGAUCUCUUUAGGAAAUGCAUGGAACCUGUUGAAAAGUGUCUUAGGGAUGCAAAGAUGGACAAGCGCUCCGUUGAUGAUGUGGUACUAGUUGGCGGAUCGACCAGGAUUCCCAAGGUGCAACAAUUACUGCAGGAUUUUUUCAAUGGGAAGGAGCUAUGCAAGAGUAUCAAUCCAGAUGAGGCUGUCGCGUAUGGUGCUGCUGUCCAGGCUGCC